rnacentral:rRNA from 1 species
UACAGAGGUCUCAAGCGUUGUUCGGAUUCAUUGGGCGUAAAGGGUGCGUAGGCGGGUCUUUAAGUCAGGGGUGAAAUCCUGGAGCUCAACUCCAGAACUGCCUUUGAUACUGGCGAUCUUGAGUCCGGGAGAGGUGAGUGGAACUGCGAGUGUAGAGGUGAAAUUCGUAGAUAUUCGCAAGAACACCAGUGGCGAAGGCGGCUCACUGGCCCGGUACUGACGCUGAGGUGCGAAAGCGUGGGGAGCAAACAGG